rnacentral:rRNA from 1 species
CCUACGGGUGGCAGCAGUGAGGAAUAUUGGUCAAUGGGCGCGAGCCUGAACCAGCCAAGUAGCGUGAAGGAUGACUGCCCUACGGGUUGUAAACUUCUUUUAUAAAGGAAUAAAGUGAGUCACGUGUGCCUUUUUGUAUGUACUUUAUGAAUAAGGAUCGGCUAACUCCGUGCCAGCAGCCGCGGUAAUACGGAGGAUGCGAGCGUUAUCCGGAUUUAUUGGGUUUAAAGGGUGCGUAGGCGGGAUGCCAAGUCAGCGGUAAAAAUGCGGUGCUCAACGCCGUCGAGCCGUGGAAACUGGCGGUCUUGAGUGGGCGAGAAGUAGGCGGAAUGCGUGGUGUAGCGGUGAAAUGCAUAGAUAUCACGCAGAACUCCGAUUGCGAAGGCAGCAUACCGGAGCCCUACUGACGCUGAGGCACGAAAGCGUGGGUAUCGAACAGGAUUAGAUACCCCUGUAGUC